AUAUAGUUCACGGCUAGUUAAUAAGUUAAGCCAGCGCCGUAGGAGGGCGCUGAAAAGCGGAAGACACGCGCGGCGUGCAAAAAGAGAGCAGUGUGAGCUAUGGCGGCGGUAUGAGCGAGAUUCACGAGGCACACAGCACAAAUGUAAAAAGUGCAAAAGAAGAUUGAAAUCCUACACUAUUGAAUAAAAAUUCUUUAAUUUUUAGAUUUUUUUUACAUAUGUUGACGACAUCAUUACUAUUGUACCGGAAAAUGAAAUGGAUAAUGUUCUCAAGAUCUUUAAUAACUACCACCCCCGACUGAAAUUUACACACGAGAUGGCAUUGGACGGAUCUAUUGCCUUUUUGGAUAACUCUCGUUAUGCGUGACAAAAACAAAUUGAUAACAAACUGGAAUCAGAAAUCUUCAUUUUCUGCAGAAGUUCAAUUAUACAGGUGCAAUACGGGUGAAUACAUCAUGCCAAAAAGACAAUCAUCAUUUAAGUGACAAUGAUAAAGUUGUCACAUUCUAAUGAGCGUACACUCCAAGGAUACUGGUUAAAAUCAAUUCGAUAGCAGUUAACGAAUUGUUAGCAGUGGAAGGGUGAAUAGGAAGGAUUUGCGGUCAACGCGUGGGGCUUGAUAGGGGAACGUAUAAUACAUUGUUACCCCAUCCAUCAGCGUUGCACUCCUUCCAUGAGCAGUAAUUUUCCUUACAAAACCGACAUUGGGAUGUGAACUAUCUCAUAAUUAAAAUUACUCUACUAAUGAGUACUCUUAGUUUAACUUAAAUCCAUUGAAUGCUGUGUUAUUUAUUUAUUGGUUUAUUUACUAUGCAUUGUGUAAUACGUUUUAAUAUAAUCAAAUAAAAUGAUUUUCAAAUAA